rnacentral:lncRNA from 1 species
CCAAAAGAGCUCACUUAUAAUGCAAAACAAACCUUGAAAUUCAGCAGGUCCACACAAAUCAUACAAAUAUGAAGAAGGCUAAUACUAUUUGGGUUGUCCUCUUGGUCAUUGCAACUAGUGAGUUUUCCUCACAACUAUUUUUUUUUUUUUUUUUUUUUUUACCAAAGUUAGGAAGGGGAAAGGUGAUUUCUCACACACACACACACUACCAAGGUACCAUGGGAGUUUGAAUAUGAGACCAUUAGUCAGCAAGUUAAUACCUUUUUCCACUGGGCGAGACCUCGUUCGCAAGUUUUUCUCACUACUUCAGUUCUCCCACUAGACUCAUAAAAAUAUUUUUAUUAGAUUUACAUAACAUUGACUAGUAAUUUUUUUUAAUUUUUUUUUUUAAACAAUGUUAAUUUGCAGGUGUAACAUUAUUCUCAACAGGAGCAGAAGGGAAACAAUGUUCUACUAACCAGGAUUGUGACAAAACUUCAUGUGUUUCAAGAACAGUUAUUUGUUUUGACCACAAAUGCACAUGCUUGGAUCCAAUUGAUUCUAAU